AAUCUACCGUACCCUACGGAAUAGCUCCGGGAAACUGGAAUUAAUACCGUAUACGCCCUUCGGGGGAAAGAUUUAUCGGGGUAUGAUGAGCCCGCGUUGGAUUAGCUAGUUGGUGGGGUAAAGGCCUACCAAGGCGACGAUCCAUAGCUGGUCUGAGAGGAUGAUCAGCCACAUUGGGACUGAGACACGGCCCAAACUCCUACGGGAGGCAGCAGUGGGGAAUAUUGGACAAUGGGCGCAAGCCUGAUCCAGCCAUGCCGCGUGAGUGAUGAAGGUCUUAGGAUUGUAAAGCUCUUUCACCGAUGAAGAUAAUGACGGUAGUCGGAGAAGAAGCCCCGGCUAACUUCGUGCCAGCAGCCGCGGUAAUACGAAGGGGGCUAGCGUUGUUCGGAAUUACUGGGCGUAAAGCGCACGUAGGCGGAUAAUUAAGUCAGGGGUGAAAUCCCGCA
rnacentral:rRNA from 1 species